UGUAAACAUCCCCGACUGGAAGCUGUACAAUACCAUCUAAGCUUUCAGUCAGAUGUUUGCG
rnacentral:pre_miRNA from 1 species